UGUCAGUGCAUGCAGCACAGAAGGGUCCUUUUAGCACUGAGUGCUGCCAUCAGCCGCUCUCAUGAUCCCCUGUGCUGAGCCCAAGACCUGCCCUGCCCUCAGAGCAGCGACCUUUGUUUUCGGGGAGCUCCCAGCAACACCACCACCGCCCCUGAUGGGUUCGUGCAGCUUUGGGGUUUGCAGGCGAGGUUCUGAGCCACACUCCUGCCGUCAGUAAAGGACCUGUCACCCUCCUUCCGUCAGCCGGGCCCUGCUCUGACUGCUGUCCCCAUGCAUAGUCACACGUAGGCCUCGUGGUGGGUGUCUGCACUGGGGGCACACUGCUGUGCAACAGAAGGAUCUCUGGGCUGUAUGGGCACGGCAGCAGGACAGGAUAUUUUUGGUCUGGAGCACCAGCAGGCACACCCAGCUCUUGUGAAAUGCGGCCUAAGGAGCCCGCAGCAGCCGAGCAGGCAGGUGGGGCUUCACCGUUCCUUCAGUGUCUCUGAAGAAAUGGGAGAAGGAAAGGCUGCGUGUAUUGGACUGUCUGAAACCAUCUUCUCAUUCCUGCAUGAAAGCCCAUGUCAGCCCUGCUGAGUUCGGCUUUAUGGCUCUAGGAAGGAAUGUGGUUUGAGUCUGGUGCCUGCCCCACUGGGCUCCUCCCCACGGAGCUGCAAUUAAACAGAACUGAACACGAUGUGAAUAUGGCAAUAAGUAAUUCUAAGCAUGAACAAAGGGCAGAGUGUAUUCCAGCAUCCAGAGCGUGCUCCUGCUAUUCCACAGGGUUAGCAUGUUGGAAAGGACUCAAGCCAUACCAUCAGCACAGUCCCUGAAACACAGAUUUAAGAAGAGAUUACAUGAAUUUCCUGCGUGGCCAAUGCAAUAUCUGUGCUCUACAAGCUGACAAGAAGAAUAAUUUUCACUGUCUUAAUGUAGCA
rnacentral:lncRNA from 1 species